GCUAGUUGUAUUAACUAUUAGUUAAUACAAGAUCGACUAUGUCGACUAAAGUUCUAGGUAGAAUAAUGAUGAUGACAAUUUUCUACCUAUAUGUCUUGACCAAAUCUCGUGCCAGCAGUCGCGGUAAUACGUGAAAGACUAGUGUUAUUCAUCUUUAAUAGGUUUAAAGGGUACCUAGACGGUUUAUCUAGCCCAAAACAGGGUACGGAUUUUCUAGAGUUUUAUGUGAGGAGGGGAGUACUCAUAGAGUAGAGAUGAAAUUUUGUGAUACUAUGAGGAAACUGGUGGGGGCGAAAGCAACCUUCUAUGUAUAAACUGACGUUGAGGGACGAAGGCUUGGGUAGCAAAUAGGAUUAGAUACCCUAGUAGUCCAAGCAGACAAUUCUGAAUGCCAUAGAUUAGAUUUUUUUUGGUCUAUAAAUGAAAGUGUAAGCAUUCCACCUUAGGAGUAAUGUGGCAACACAGGAACUGAAAUCAUUAGACCGUUUCUGAAACCAGUAGUGAAGUAUGUUAUUUAAUUUGUUAGUCCUCAAAAAACCUUACCACAACUUGAAUGUUAUUUAAUUAAUACAAGCGUUGCACGGCUGUCUUCAGUUAAUGUCGUGAGAUUUUGGUUAACUCCCUCAAUUAACGUAAACCCUUACUUU
rnacentral:rRNA from 1 species